UCUUCCGUAGUAUAGUGGUCAGUAUGUGAGCUUGUCAUCCAGCCCCUGGUUCCGAUUAUUCGCUCGAGACCCGGGUUCAAUUCCCGGCGGGAGAG